GACGGAGGAUGCAAGCGUUAUCCGGAAUUAUUGGGCGUAAAGCGUCCGCAGGUGGCUGUUCAAGUCUGCUGUCAAAGCGCAGAGCUUAACUCUGUACAGGCGGUGGAAACUGAAGAGCUAGAGUAUGGUAGGGGUAGAGGGAAUUCCCGGUGUAGCGGUGAAAUGCGUAGAUAUCGGGAAGAACACCAGUGGCGAAAGCGGUCUGCUGGCCCUCUUCUGACGCUGAGGCGCGAAAGCCAGGGGAGCAAACGGG
rnacentral:rRNA from 1 species